AGAAACAACCGCUAUACAAAAACAAAACAGUAAUACUAAAACCUCCAAAAGGCCAAGGUCGAAGUGUUUUCAUAGGAAAGUACAGAAAAAUGUGGAAAAGUAAGGUUUGGAAUUUGACACUUCUCUCCACCAUUCUCAGACGAAGAACAACCCUCCUUUCCAUCUCUCAUUUCCAAAGCAAUUCCACUUCACACUUUCCGCCUGCAAUUUCCAGAACUUCUAAUUUUGAUUUUCUCGGGAAUCCCAACUUUCCCGGAAAAACCUUCUGCUCGGAAUCGGCAGAGAAAUCCCAUGUCCAUAUCAGAUGCUGGAGUUGUGGUAACGUGGCCAAUGGGUCGCUGUUUCUCUUCUGUGACUCGUGUCGGAGCGUUCAGCCCCUUGAUCAAUCCGUGGACUACUUCCAAAUAUUCGGCUUGGAGAGGAAGUAUGAUAUUGGGGUUGAGAAUUUGGAGGGAAAGUACAAAGACUGGCAAAAAAAAUUGCACCCUGAUCUAGUUCACUCUAAAUCUAAGAAAGAAAGAGGGUUUGCUGCUGAACAGUCUGCUCGGGUAAUUGAUGCGUACCGCACACUUAGCAAGCCAUUGUUGAGGGCAAUAUACAUUAUGAGGCUUGAAGGUGUAGAUGUUGAUGAAGAAGAAACACUUGCAGAUCCAGAGUUGCUAUCUGAGAUUUUGGAAAUCAGGGAAGCUGUUGAAGAGGCAGCUGACUCUCAGGAGUUAAAUCAAAUUCAGUCUCAGAUGCAAGAGAAGCUGGAUCAUUGGUCAAACUCUUUUGCAAAUGCAUUUCAAUGCCGGAAGUUUGAAGAAGCUCUAAAUUCUAUCCGACGAAUGACUUACUACCAGCGUGUAAAUGAAGAAAUUGUGAAGAAGCUUUAAUAUAGGAUCUUGGUGGUCUAGCGCCCACUUUUGCGGUUGUAGAGUCAACAAUUUAAUGCCAAAAUUCACAAGCCAAUGUCUUCUGGAUAAUUGAUCUAUUCAAAAUUCAAAUGCCUGGUCAAGACUGCAUACUAUCACGUAAGACAAACAUGAAUAGAACCUCAAAAAUACAAAGGUCGUGGUUGAGGAUUUAUGGACAAAGCCAUAGAUGUUUGCCAUGUCAUGAGACUAUAUAUUUGUUCUUAUUGUAAUCCGUGGUUUUCAAUUAUUCAUCUGUUUUUUGCUUAAAUUGACACUGUUUUCUUUCCAGUGUUGCCAGUUGGUUUUUUUUAUGAUUUGGACAGGCAUACGGCAGUAUGCAUGUAUUUCUAUUCUUACUAAAGAAUGUUUGAUGUUUUUGUCAAAAAAAAAAGGAGAAAAAAAAAAAGUAAAAAAAUGUUUGAUGUUAGAAUAACAGAUGACAUCUUGCAUCGAAA